AUACUUACCUGGCACAGGAGAUACCAUGAUCACGAAGGCGGUUCUCCCAGGACGAGGCUCACCAUUGCACUCCGGUGGCGCUGACCCCUGCGAUUAACCCAAAUAUAUAUAUAUAUAUAUAUAUAUAUAUAUAUAUAUAUAUAUAUAUAUAUAUAUAUAUA